ensembl:lncRNA
UUUCUUAGGAGUGUCAAUUUAUUUUUUUUUUUAAAUGAUGAGCUUCUAAAUUUCACGAGCAGUGUUAAUCACUUCCAACCAGAAACAAGAGCCAGGAGCCUCAUUCUUAGGUGUGAUUAGAAAGCAUCACAUAAACCUUUCAAGGGUGACUUGAGUUUAUAAAGCCCCUGAAGCCUAAACGCCCUUCAGAUGUCUUUCCUUCCCCUCUUACGAAUGAAAAGUGUCUUUAUUUGGGCCCUGUUGGCCCCCAGCCUCAGUGUGCUGCUGCUCGGCGCCAGCGUUGGAAAGGAGGGUAGGGGAGAAGGUGAGAAGACCGCUCCAUCUGGGUCUUCAGAGGACGCAGCAGUCACACCUUCAGUCCAUCUGAUUCGAGAGCACUGCACCUGGAGUCGCUUGAGUCACAAACGGAGUCUUAUCCCAGGAGAUGGAGAUACUUCCCUGAGCCGCACAGGAGGACUCUGCUGUCCAUCCAUUCUGCAGAUGAAAAAGGGAGACAAACCCAUGAAGGGAUAUGUGAUGAGCGUUGUCUCAGGGACUGGAUUUGAGGACAUCUCUGGAGUUGUUCACUCUGUGUUGCCUUCAUUAUCUGAUCUUUGU